rnacentral:lncRNA from 1 species
AGAUCAAAGAGAGACACAGAAGGUGAGACUGGGGAGAGAGAUAAUGUAAAAGGAAGAAAGAGUACAAGAGGAAGUGAGAGGAUGCAGAGAGGCUGGCAGGGCUGAGAAAAGGAUCUAGAGGCUCAAGCAACAAGGAGGUGCAGGGAAAGGGUGGAGCAUGGCCACUGAGGAGAGACAGAGCCAGAGAACUGGAGGAUGCAAGUGAGAAAGGGAUGUGGAGGAGAGUGUAGAAUCAGGCUGCUUGAGGAAUAGUAGGCUGCCUACAGCAAAGACUAGAUGGCUGUAUGUCAGGAGGUAAAUAGAGAGGAUUCAGGUUAUGAAAGGGUAAACCGAUAAGAUGACCGUUAAGGUUUUGUUGUUUUACUGAGAGGCUGUAAAUCCACCAGGGGAAGCUGUCACUAAGGCUGCAGAGGGGCUGGAGAGCUACACAGGGAAGAUCAGAACUACUGUUGUAAACAAUGCCGCUGGGUUAGGGUCUCCCCGACUGAGCUGGUAUCAGCAAAUGGCAUCCAUCAUGGGGACUCAAAUCCAGGUCAAAGGUUUGCCAGAGGGAUGGUUGGAGAACAUGGAACUAGCUAGAGGACACCUGAGUACUCUUAAAGCAAUCCCUGUGGCCAAAAUCAACAGCCAAUUUGGAUACCAUCAAGACAAAUGAAACCUUAUCAUGAGCCAGAUUCUGGGAGGAUCCCGAGGACCCCUCAGUUGAAGCCAUGUCAAGACUGACGUUGAGGAAGACCCCAGCUUUCACGAGCAACACCCGUUUAACACAGCCACCCACCUGGGGAGAGAUCACGAAGCUGUCACAGAUUGUGGAAGAAAACCUGAGAAAAGCAGGACAACCAGUCACAAUGAGUAAUUUAAUGGUAGCUAUGAUAGCAGUUAUCACCCUGCCAUGAGUAUUCCUUCAACAAGGGCUGACACAGAGAACAAUUAUACUUACUGGGCAUAUAUAUCAAUCCUGGAUGGUAAUAAUGCCUGAAUAUAAUCACUCUAUGACACAGUUACACAUGCUUUCUGAUCUCAGUAUUUACCCUAAUAAAUUUGUUCCUAUAAUUGAGGCAUACCACCUUAAAAAACCUAUUUGUAAACAAAAUAGAACCUGGCCAGAAAUAAUGAAUGUACUUGUUUAGGAAGAUUGCUUUACAGAACAGGCAGAGGGGCUGCAUAACGAUUCCUAUGGAAUCUUUAUUGAUUGGUCCCCUAAAGGGAUGUUUAACCUAAAUUGCACCUCUCAGUCUGCAUGCCAUGGCCACACUAUGCUCAGCUGAUCUAAACAAAAUGGUCAGAUGGUAGAAAUGAUAAGAAGUAUGGCAAAAGUUCCUAUUAUCUGAAACCAUGGCAGUAUAGUGGCACCUCAACCUCAAAUGAUAUGGCUUAUUGUAGGAGGUAAACAUGAAGGAUUUGUGGAAACUAUUAAUAGCUCUUAAUAAGAUCAAAAUUUGGGAAAGAAUAAAAAAGUAUCUAGAAGGACACACUACAAACUUGUUUUUGGAUAUGGCAAAAUUAGAAGAACAAAUAUUUAAAACAUCUCAAGCACACAUGGCCUUAAUGCCAGGAACUGGA